AAGUCGUAACAAGGUAUCCGUUGGUGAACCAGCGGAUGGAUCAUUACCUGAAUAAAAUACGCCAAUUGUGGUGUGGCUGACACAUUGUUGUUGGCCUCUGGUGUGGUUGGUGAAUCAACCUGCCAGGACUUGUGGUGUGCAAUGACGAGAGUUGGUGUCGAAGCCAACAAGAAGUCGCACGCUUGAUGAGUGAGGGGAUUGCUGGAACGGACUCCCAUUGGAGUCCAGGCGAGAUGCCUCCUCAAUCCCGGUGACUGCCAUUGACUUCACUGAAGCGAUUGUCUCAAAGAUGACAACUGCUGGCCGUGGAUCACUUGGCUGACG
rnacentral:misc_RNA from 1 species